rnacentral:snoRNA from 1 species
GCUGCCCGUAGAGGCAUUGCAGGUGUGGCUGCUGUGUCACAUGUGUGUCAGCAGGUGGCAGAGGGGAGAGAGUCUAUGUCUACACUCGGUGUUCUGACCUAUGAACAUCUGAAUGAUUAGUAGUCUAACAUU